GCCUGGGUGGCUUAGUUGGUUGAGCAUCCGACUUCGGCUCGGGUCAUGAUCUCACGGGUUGUGAGUUUGAGCCCCGUAUCAGGCU
rfam:Felis catus isolate Cinnamon breed Abyssinian chromosome F1, whole genome shotgun sequence.